AUUCACACCAUCCUUCAGGACCACUACACACUAUUCACACCAUCCUUCAGGACCACUACACACUAUUCACAUUGUGCUUCAGGACCACUACACACUAUUCACACUGUACUUCAGAUCCACUAUACACUAUUCACACCAUCCUUCAGGACCACUAUACACUAUUCACACUGUACUUCAGGACCACUAUACACUAUUCACACUGUACUUCAGAUCCACUAUACACUAUUCACACCAUCCUUCAGGACCACUACACACUAUUCACACUAUCCUUCAGGACCACUAUACACUAUUCACACUGUACUUCAGGACCACUACACACUAUUCACACCAUCCUUCAGGACUACUACACACUAUUCACACCAUCCUUCAGGAUCACUAUAUGUGGCCUGUUGUACCAUGUGAUCUCGAUCUCACUGCAUGGCUAGGAGAACCUCCGCGCACUUCUCUCAUCUGUGCUUUCUCAGCUAGAGAGGUCUCAGAAGAUACUGUGAGCAAAACCUCCUCAGUAUGCCCUAGAAAGUCUAUAGUGGCACUACCUCCCAUCCUACAGCUGAGAAAACUGAGGUUUGGAUCAUGGUCUAGUCAUAGCUGAAACCCAAGGCUUGAUUCCUUAUCCUACAGAACACAUUUUUUUGAAUUUUAAAUAUUAUAGUGUGUGUGUGUGUAUGUGUGUGUGUGUGUGUGUGCUCACAUAUUCAUGUGGAGGUCAGAGGACAACUUUUGUCCUCUUCCACCAUAGAGCACAGCUUUGACCUGUAAGCUGCCACUCCUAUGUGGGGUUAUAUAACUGAAUAUGAGGGUUGCAACAUUUUUGGCAACAAUAAAAGGCUUCCGAAUGCAUAACAACCAAAUAGAUUAAAGAUCAAAUCUGCCUUGAAUCUAAGGUGUUUCUGGCAGUACUUGGCCAUGUGCACCACGUGACUGCACUGCUGCUCUGACUCUGAACAAACAAAAGACAAAGUUAAAUGAGAGGCUGGACAGAUGGCUCAGUGGUUAAGAGGACUGGCUGCUCUCUCAGAGGACUUGGAUUUAAGACCCACACCCACAGGACUGCUCACAAUUCUCCAAGUAGAGUCUUAGAGGAUCUGACAACCCCUUCUGGCCUCCAUAGGUACCAGGCACACAUGUAGUGCAUAUAUCUACACUCACCCAAAACACUCAUACACAUAAAAUAAGUAAGUAGAAAAAUGGAAAACAAAAUAAGCAAGCACUUCCAUCUUACUGGUGUGCAAUUUACUUUCAUUCUUAAUAAAUGGUAAAACUACGUGUCAA
rnacentral:lncRNA from 1 species